rnacentral:rRNA from 1 species
GAUGAACGCUGGCGGCGUGCCUAACACAUGCAAGUCGAGCGAUUUACUUCGGUAAAGAGCGGCGGACGGGUGAGUAACGCGUGGGUAACCUGCCCUGUACACACGGAUAACAUACCGAAAGGUAUGCUAAUACGAGAUAAUAUGCUUUUAUCGCAUGGUAGAAGUAUCAAAGCUCCGGCGGUACAGGAUGGACCCGCGUCUGAUUAGCUAGUUGGUAAGGUAACGGCUUACCAAGGCGACGAUCAGUAGCCGACCUGAGAGGGUGAUAGGCCACAGUGGAACUGAGACACGGUCCAAACUCCUGCGGGAGGCAGCAGUGGGGAAUAUUGCACAAUGGGCGAAAGCUUGAUGCAGCAACGCCGCGUGAGCGAUGAAGGCCUUCGGGUCGUAAAGCUCUGUCCUCAAGGAAGAUAAUGACGGUACUUGAGGAGGAAGCCCCGGCUAACUACGUGCCAGCCGCCGCCGUAA